rfam:Nematostella vectensis strain CH2 x CH6 NEMVEscaffold_1_Cont152, whole genome shotgun sequence.
UUCUGGAACUACACAUUCUAAGAAAAGUGCUCUUUAAGAGCACUUUUCUUAGAAUGUGUAGUUCCAGA